AAGAACAAGCUGCGUAACAUUGCAGUCCCAGAGUAGCACCAACUUAUUGCAGCUCUAACAAGGGCAGUUCUGGGGCCCUUAGUAAUAAAUGGUCUGGGCUCUAGAUAGAAAAAACUCACCCUAGACACACAAACAGUUCCUAUUUUUCAAUUUUGUUUCUCGUAUCAUAAAAACUAGCACUGACUUGACUUACAGUGGGACAUCAGUCUUUUCUUUUAAAAUGUAUUUAUUUAUGAACUGAAAACCUACAAGAAAGACUGCACUGUCUUUGAGAUGGCCGAAUGCUCUGGGCUUCAGAUGGGAUACAGCAAAGCUGAUCUAUGCCUGCUACUGCAGUAGAUCUACGUGUGACUUUUCAGCAAGCUAAACUGCUAAAUUGAAGGACUUUGAAGAAAGAAGUGAAAUCUAUUGCCAUCAAGUCUCACUUGCAUCACAUUGAAACAAGGAUUGUCCUGUCUCCUUCCCAGGCUAUGCAAUUAGCUGCCUCCCAACAGAGGAGCUCCCAAGGAACCUCUCUCAUACAAACAUCACCGAUUUAUAAACAGCCUGGCGAUGUGCUACCAUUACGACCAGCCUCCAAUGAAUCUGCUAUCAGUUUUGCAUACACUGACCCUGGCGCUGUUUUCUCAGCAGCAAGGAGCCAUACUCCAGAAAGCUUUCUUUCUACCCUCUCAAAGUCAGGAAGCCUUUUUUCUAUGGAACAACACGAUCUCUUUUAUGGGUCUUCCAGAAGUUCUUCCAGAGGGUCCAUGGGCAAUCCCGAAUACAAAUACGAAGAUGGAGAAGGAAGCGGUGAUUCUGGGAGCACCAUUUUUGUCCCAUUCACAGCAAUGUGACAGACGAUCUACCUUUUACCAGACGUUAAUGAUAUUCCAUGUGUAUCCCUCUGAUGCACUGUCUCUUUUAAUGAAAAAUUUAAAUAGGAAAAAAAAGUACACAACUGAGUAUUUUCUGAGCUAUGUGUGAAUGGAAGCCCACACAAAGAAUUGCAUCCCAUCAAUAUCUUCAAUCUUUAAAAUAUGGAGAUCUCCUUUGGAAGUGAACUUACUCCAGUCUUUCCCCAAUCAUAGUAAGGACUACAGGACCUAAUGAACCAAGCUCUUUCCACAGUGAACAGGUGGGCUGUACAAACUGACCGUCCAAUGUCAGUUUCCAAGAGUACUUCAAAUAUUAGACUGGGAUAAGAGGUUAACAAUGAGACUGAUCAGUUGUAGCUGUUAUUUAAAGUCAUGCAAGAAGAAUAAAAUCACUGAAUAAGAGACAAAGUUUUCUUAAUGACAUGGAAAAAACCCAUGAAUGUUCCAUUGCUCAUCUGUGGACCUCCAUCCAAACAAAUCCCAAAUUAGCAAAGGACCUGCUGUCAAAUGGUUUUCAAGAGGCCCUUCCCCAAGAGAUGGGACUUGUUUUAAAAACUGCCUUCAGUGUUAGGGAUGUAAUUAAUAGAGAGUGCAAGUGCUAGAAAUUAAGGGGCUGAUCUUCAGUGCCAAAAGCAACAACUCCCAAUGAGUUGGGUGUCUAACUGCUGGCCUUUAUGCCUUUGAAAACGUCCCCCUAAAUGUCUAGCUAUUAGAUUGGCCACACAGGGUAGGUGGCUAGACAUUUAACUAUUAGCAAAUUGUGCCCACCAUUUUUUUGCAUUUGUAGUGAAUUCUUGCUCUGUUGCAAUUAUUCAGGAUUCCCUAUCUGAAAUUUGAGCAAUGUGGAUUAGUUGAUCACAUAUGUGUUGGGCGAGGGAAGGAUGAGGAGCAGUUCUCCUUUCCACAUUCAUCUUGUGGGAGCUAUUGCUUGAAAGCCUGAUUAUUAUACGGAUAGUCCCUCUCUCCAUCCCAAUUCCUGAACCACUUCCUUGUCUCAGCCUACCCUAUUAUGCCUGGGCCCUAUGAAAUACACUGUCCCAGGCCUCAGAAACCCUCUUGUUCCAAGGCUCUCCGAGCUCCCCUGCUGCUGACCCUGUUGCCCUGAACCAGGUGCCCAAACUUGCUGAUUCACCCCAGCUGAGGAUCUCACCCACAGAGCACAUCUCCUCUCCUUUCCUUGUGCAAGUUAUUCUGUAGUGUGGGAGAGGGUGGGAGGGAUAGGUGUUCUGUGGCACAGUUUGCUCUUCCAGGGCUGGCCUUAGGGGUGGGCCUCCCGGGCAACCGCCCAGAGGUGCCAUGGUCAAGGGGGCGUCAUGCAGCAGCGCAGAGGUGAGCAUUGCCGGCGUAGAAUUAGAAACUGCUCCCGGCUGGCUGGGGAGCGUCGUGUGGGGGGUGCCCAGAUUUCUCCCUGCUCCUCCCUCACAGUGGAGGAACAUGAGGGGGGUCAGC